rnacentral:rRNA from 1 species
UCUAUGAAGAAUAUGACGGUAAUAGACGAAUAAGGGUCUGCUAACUACGUGCCAGCAGCCGCGGUCAUACGUGGGACCCAAGCGUUAUCCGGAAUUACUGGGCGUAAAGAGUUGCGUAGGUGGCAAUGUAAGUAGAUAGUGAAAUCAUACGGCUCAACCGUGUAGACAUUAUUUAAACUGCAUAGCUUGAGUAUGGGAGAGGUAGAUGGAAUUUCUAGUGUAGGAGUGAAAUCCGUAGAUAUUAG